GACGAACGCUGGCGGCGUGCCUAAUACAUGCAAGUAGAGCGCACAGUUUAUACCGUAGCUUGCUACACCAUAGACUGUGAGUUGCGAACGGGUGAGUAACGCGUAGGUAACCUGCCUGGUAGCGGGGGAUAACUAUUGGAAACGAUAGCUAAUACCGCAUAAUAUUAAUUAUUGCAUGAUAAUUAAUUGAAAGGUGCAAUUGCACCACUACCAGAUGGACCUGCGUUGUAUUAGCUAGUAGGUGAGGUAACGGCUCACCUAGGCGACGAUACAUAGCCGACCUGAGAGGGUGAUCGGCCACACUGGGACUGAGACACGGCCCAGACUCCUACGGGAGGCAGCAGUAGGGAAUCUUCGGCAAUGGACGAAAGUCUGACCGAGCAACGCCGCGUGAGUGAAGAAGGUUUUCGGAUCGUAAAGCUCUGUUGUAAGAGAAGAACGGGUGUGAGAGUGGAAAGUUCACACUGUGACGGUAGCUUACCAGAAAGGGACGGCUAACUACGUG
rnacentral:rRNA from 1 species